UUGAAGGCUAGUUCUACUUCAGAACCACAGAGACAUGAGCACCAGCAAGUUUGUGGUUGGAUAAGGAUCUUCAGAACUCCAGAUGGUCAAGCACUGCUUCGUCCCUUCUUCAAUGGCAUCUCUAGCAUGAAGAGGCACAACACAGUCCAUGCCUUCGCCUCGUCUGGCCAACUCUAAUCAUGAAUCUCCUGUGAAUCAGCUGGGAAACAUGCAGAAUAUGAGAUUGGGGCCCUCAUUCAUACUAACUGGAAUUUUCCUUGGCAAUGGUAGAACAGAAGCUUCUCCAUUCUGUAGAGAUGAAUUUGCUUUAAGUAAGAUCUUCCCAGAGUACAAAAGAAAUUUAUUCUGAAAAUUUCAAACUAAUAUCUUUUGCAAGGUGAGCUACACCUCUGAGAGAAGCUCCUGGAAAUUACCAGAGAUACUUAAUGUUGCCAGCUGUUACAGAUGGAGAUGAUGCACCUUGAUGAUGAAUAAGUACUGAGCCUGAAUCCUACAAAUGGGAAAAGGUGCUCAUAUCAGACUUAUGCAUUAGAUAUCAAACUACAAAAUACAAGUGCAGUUGAUACCUGUUUAGAUGAUGUAGAGCAAGGUAACAGUAUGUAUUAAAAGCAAAAAUUCCCAUGAAGCUGAACCGUUAACUCUCUGCCAAAACCUCCCACUCUCAAGUUUUAAGAGCCAAUAAACCUUGUAUCUGUA